AUGCGUGCAACUCUUGAAGUUGAAUACACUCGGGAGGAAGUGAAAGAAGCACUGGAUCAUAUUGGUGAUCUAAAAGCACCGGGUCCGGAUGGCAUGCCCUCUAUCGUCUUCAAGCGACACUGGCAUUUUAUGGGAGAUCAAGUUGUUAAAGAAGUCCUAGCAGUGCUAAAUGGAGGAGACAUGCCAGAGGGGUGGAAUGAUACUAUGGUUGUACUAAUCCCCAAGGUAAAGAACCCGAAGAGGAUCAAGGACCUAAGGCCAAUCAGUUUGUGCAAUGUGGUCUAUAAGCUGGUUUCUAAAGUUAUAGCAAAUAGGCUGAAGUCGGUGUUGCCAGAUAUCAUCUCGGAUAAUCAAAGAGCCUUCGUACCAGGUAGACUAAUCACGGACAAUGUCCUCAUUGCAUACGAGAUCUCACACUACAUCAUGAACAAGAGAAGUGGCAAGAGUGGUGUGGCAGCAGUAAAAGCAGACAUGAGCAAAGCAUAUGACCGUGUCGAGUGGGGUUUUUUGGAAGCCAUGCUGUGUAAGUUGGGCUUUACCAGAACAUGGAUUGAUCUGGUCAUGAAGUGUGUGAGAACAGUGAGAUACCAAAUUAAAGUCAAUGGCGAGGUCACAAACACGUUCAGCCCUUCUCGCGGCCUAAGACAAGGAGAUCCCGUAUCUCCAUAUUUGUUUGUCAUUUGUGCCGAGGGGCUAUCUGUGCUCCUCAAUGAUGCCGAGGAGAAAGGAACAAUCCAUGGCGUCAAGAUUUGUCAGCAGGCACCCUGCGUUUCACACCUUCUGUUCGCUGAUGACUCCAUGCUGUUGAUGAAAGCGAACCAGGAAGAAGCAGCGGCUUUGCAUGAUGUGCUACAGUUGUAUGAGGAUUGCUCUGGCCAAUGCAUAGAUAUUGAGAAAUCUGCAGUCAUGUUUAGCCCCAACACUAGUGAUGCAGCAAAGCAAUCAGUCAAAAAUGCAUUGGGUAUCCACAGUGAGAACUGGAACGGGAAAUACCUAGGCCUGCCUGUUCACGUGGGGCGUUCAAGGAAGCGAGCAUUCAAUUACAUCAAGCGCAACUUGUGUGGCCGGAUGAACGGAUGGCAGGAAAGGCUCUUAGCGAAGGAGAGCAAGGAGGUUUUGGUGAAGGCUAUGGGGCAAGCAAUCCCCACAUUUGCUAUGUCUUGCUUCGACCUUACUAAAACCUUCUGUGCUGAACUAAACUCUCUCCUGGGAUCAUUCUGGUGGAGCCAGCAGGACAAGAAGAAUGCGAUGCACUGGAUUAGCUGGGAUAAAUUAACUAUGCCCAAAGCUAUGGGAGGAUUAGGGUUUCGGGACAUGCAUAUGUUCAACAUCGCAAUGCUGUCCAGACAAGCUUGGAGAAUCCUACAAAAUCAGACUAGCCUUUGCGCUAGGGUGCUGCAAGCACGAUACUUCGCGAACAGUAGCGUUCUUGAGGCCCAAGCUCAUGAUGGUAUCUCGUACUCCUGGAGGAGUAUCUUACAUGGGCCGCAACUGAUUAAAGAAGGAUACAUAUGGAGAAUUGGGAAUGGGACGCAGGUGCAUAUCUGGAAUGACCCUUGGAUACCAAGGUCUUGGUCACGGCAUGUCAUCAUCUCGAGAGGUGCAAACAUGUUAACUCAUGUGGCUGAACUUAUCUGCCCUAUUUCCGGAACUUGGGAUGAACAGCUUGUGAGGGAUAUUUUUUGUGCCGAAGAUGCCCAACGGAUACUCCAGAUUCCACUAAGAGAUGGUGUGGACGACUUCAUAGCUUGGCACUAUGAUAGCAAAGGAAAUCACUCCGUGAAAAGUGCAUAUAAGUUGCAGGUUGAGUUGAGCAAGCACGCGGGCAACGGAUCGGCAGGAACGAGUACAAGCGCAGGUGGACAACUUGAGCACACGGCUGAUCAGACUUGGAAACGCAUCUGGAAAUUACCAUGCCCGGCCAAGCUGCAGAUGUUUGUAUGGCGUUUGAGACAUGAAGCUCUUGCCCUCUGCCAAAACCUGGAGAGGAGAGGAGUUAAGUUGGAGAAGACCUGA
rnacentral:rRNA from 1 species